ACAGGGAACACAAGGAACAUUUACAAGUCAGGUAACAGCCCUGUGUCAUCCCAGCUGCUCUCUGCCACCCUUCUGCAUCCCAUUGCCAGACAGAAGCUGCUGGCUUCCCAGGUCAGUUCUGGCUAUCUGAGCUGGUGAAUGUGCAUCUCUCCUAGGGUAUGGGGCAAAGGCAAGAGAAUAUAUUGUGCCCCCUGGAUUACUGCUCUGCAAUCCACACCUCUGCUCCAGGCAAUGGGCGUUGUGGGGAGAGGGAAGUGGGUUAUUUUCCAAAUAGCCCCAAUUGGGCUAGUCCUGGAAAAUCCCGAGUGCAGACCAUGUGUGAAUCAGAGUGUGUUCUCUGACAGGGCCCCAGCGCAGUUACUAGUGCCGCAGACAGCUGGAAUAGGGAGCCCACUUGGCCCUUACGAAACACUGACUGGUGGGGACAGGACCUACCAUGGAUCCUAGCUCUCCCAGCAAGUGCACUGUGCAUUCCCAGAGACAGCAACUCACCUCUCCUAGGAGCCCCAGACCCGGACACUCACAAGUCAAACACAUUCCCACCCUGAACAAGCCACAGCUCCACACUCCAGGUGACCACAGGACAGUUUUGGAAGCUGGGAUGAAGCCAAAGUAGUGAUUUGUCCACAGUGACCCUCUUCAAGCAGUCAACAGCUUGGAAAGCUCCUGUCCAGGAGGGAAUUGGGAGCAGAAUCUCCUGUAUGCUCAAAACUGGAAUGCAGUUCUUCCUUCUCUUCCCAUUGUUAGGGGGGAUCACAAGCCCUGAGAGCAGGGCACUCCCUGCAUUGGCUGUGGCAUGUGCCAGCUUGAGCAGGGGACACUGAAAGCUGGGCAGGGGAGUGCUGAGGCUGGCUUUGGGUGUCAAGCAAUAUCCUGGCAGAAGCAAUCCCGGGCAGACUGGAUAAUCUCACAGGAGCGUCCCACAUCCCGAGUCUGUGGGAAGCCAGCUUUGACUCACCAGCAGCGUAAGGAACAAUCUUGGGUUCACUCUUUAAAACACUAAAAAAUACACUGGGACAUAAGCCUUGGGGCGUGGACAUCCCUGCCUAUGCUCUCGCCAGGGAACAGACAUCCUCCACCAAAAGGUCCUCCCAGGGGGUGGGCAUCCCCCUGCUGAACUUUUUGCCAACUUUUGGGCAUGGGACCCUCCCAAAGCUCAGGAGCAUGUGCAUAUCCUUCCUAAACCCCUGGGAGGGCACCUUCUGCCCACCAGGUUACAGGGCUCUGCAGAGCUGGUAUGAGACGCUCUCAGGUCUGCAGCCAGCACGAGCUGGUGCAUUCACCCUGCCCUGCUGAACCGCUUACUCCCGUCAUUGCAUUUGUUUGUCCCCCAGACAGUUUGCUUUUAAGAAUUUUAGUGCUUGGCUGAGAGUGCUGCCAGCUCGAGUUCUGCGCACGUCUUUGAUGGCUCAGUCCCUGUGACGCUCCAACGCACUACUGGGCACAAAUGCUGCAAGGCCAAAAGGUCAGCAGCACAGCAGGAGAGCCCCUCACUGGGAAGGAAACAGGUGGUUUAGCACCCUAGGAUGCAAGAGGGGCCUGGGUAAUCAUGUGGGCACCCACUGCUGGAAAGCUGGAGGCGAAUCACUGUGAGGCUGGGGGAGCAGGUCCACCUGGCAAGGUGAGAGGAGUAGGCUGUCCGUGCAUCAGGAGAAAGCAUCCAUUUCUCCAAUUGCUUGGGGAGACACUUGAUAGACAGGGUUCAUUGCACAAUGACCCCUUUCCUCACUGCUGACACAGCCCUCCUGCUCUGGGAGUGGGGAUUCAAUCACCACCCCUGAUCGCCCGGAACACUGCCAGGAUGACAAAUGUGGCACACAAUGCGGGCUGUCAAAUCUCCAGGCCUGCCAUGACCAGUUCUGGUAACAUCAUUGCCCAUAAACGGUCCCAAGCAAGAGGAAUCGCAACCAAGCAAGUCAACCAGGACAUGCAGGGCCACUGCCCUCCUCUUCCUACUGAGUCUGGCUGUCUCGUAACAGUAGAACAUCCUCCAUCAGAUCAGCCCAGGAGGCCCGCCAUGCCCUGACUGGUCCUGCCAACACAGCCUUGAGCGAACCUGCUGAUGUAAUCUAUGACCAAGCUCUGCCCCUCAACUGACCCACGACUAGCUUGGCAGUAAGCCCCCAUCUGCAGCAUGGCAUUAUCUCCCCUGCUCAGCCCUGACAUGGAGCUGCAGACAGAGAAGCCUGGAGUUCAGAGAAUAGAUGAUGAGGGAGACUUUAGCAAUAUAAAGCAACAGCAGUGGGUACAGCAAUGGCCUUAAUGGCAUGUGGUGUGAACAGAAGAGCCUGUGAGAAGUGCUCAGAAACAUCCCCCUUUGCUGCUAGGAAAUACAGCCAGGGCACGUGGCAGCCUGUAGGCGUCUAUUCUCAGUCCUGAGAUCAAGGCUUCCUCACUAGUCAGAAGAUCAAACAUCAUCUGUUGACACUGCAGAGUUAGCCAUACACCCAGGACUCCUGCACGUGGGCCACACUCAGGCAGGCUGGAAGCACCACAGAGGAGUGCAAAGAGGCUGUGCCCCCAGUCUGCUACGGAUCACUGACCACGAUGUGGGGCUGGCGGCUUCCUCCAAACACUGGGAUGUCUCUAUCAGUGGGGUUGGAGAGCAAAGCUCUGGGCUCCCUCUGCAAACAGAAGCAAUGAAGAUGUGCUGAUAGCACAGCCCUCCUCUGCUUGCAGGGAUGAAGGGAAAGGAGGGAGAAAUACCCAGCAGAAGGAAAGAUGCAAAUACAGGAAGAGACUGAAGGGGCUCAGAGGAGCCUAGAGAGUCAUAGUGGGGAGCCAAAGCCACAGUGCACGGUGCUCUGGGGACAGUUUUAUCGGCUAGAAGAUACCACAGCCCUUGAAAAAUGCCACGGCGGUGCCUGCAGUGGGCAGCCAAGGCCUAGCUGUACUGCAGCGGGGCUCUUGGAAGGGUGGAGUUCACCUUACACCACACUGAAGGCACCAGAUAAUCUGAGAGAGCACGAGUCACAGCCUCUGGGCAAGGCAGUGUGCUACAGGACUGAGCCUGUCCAGGGUGAUGCUGAUGCCAAUGAUACAAAGACUGACUCUCUGGACACAGGCUUGUGUAUCUCCUUCUGCUGAAGGGGACAGAUAAGGCGAUGACAACUGUUAACGUAGGUGGAUGUGCUGGCUGUGUAAAGGUAAUGGCCUCAGUCUUGGCCAACACCUGACUUCACAGCUGAAAGCAGGAAUCUUUACAGUUUGAGCUAGAAAGCCAGGCUGGGGCUGUGGAGCAGGUACAGCAGGCUGCAUAACACACACUGACCAGCUUGUUACAGGAACAGUUACAUUACUGGUGGGUCAGUCACAGCCUGUGAUCCUGUCAGGGACCCAGCGUGUGUUAUAAGAAUUUAUCAUCACACUCCCAGCCCUGCCUCUAGCACCAGAGCUGAGCUAAACAGGAGGAAGGUGGUUGAAUAGAGGGCUGAAUUUCCCACAGUUCUGUGUUCCAGCCAAGUCAGAGGGAGGUGCUGCAAUCCAGACCCACAGGCCCAGGAGCAGACAAUGCACCAGAGGAACAGCAGCAUCACUAACGUAUCUGACAAAUCCAGCAAAUCAAGUGAGGUGCUGAAGGAUGGGAGAAGGGGUCCUAUGGCUCCCACCUGUCCGCUGGACAAAGGUCCAAAUCAUUAGAGGAGUGCCUCUGCCUGCACUGACCAGAGGAUGUUUGGAUUCUGAUGUCAGCCCAGUUCUGCAGCCUUACAGGAAUUAGAUGUUGUCCCCAGUGUAUAGAGAAUUCUUCUUUGCAGCCAAACUAGUCUAACAUGCAUUUUGUUAACUGGAAUUGGAGCAGCAAAACAAAGAAAAUAAAUGCCUCAUUUUCCAGCUUUGUGGGUGAGAGAACUAUAAGUCAAGAUUAUAAUGCCGGACACUGACUAUCUUAAACCAGCUGCCUCAGGAAUCUGCCAAGAACUUUGCUGAAAAUAUGUUCCUCAUCUUAACAACAGAGGUAAGACUUAUCACACAUCUGCUCACCUUUAUUCGAAUGAAGCUCCUUCUGAUCUGACAGCUCAGGCAUUGUCAGAACAAUUUACAUCCAGAACAAUUUACAAAACUUGGAACCUAAUUCUGUAAACCCUUAAUCAUUUGAUCAAUCCCACUAAAGACAAUGGGACUAUAUGCAUGGCUAUGGACCUCUUUUGUAGUCUGGUAAGAGUUUCAGGAGUUUGUUCCCAUAAAGGAAGUUCAGGAUA